ACGUGACAUCUGUCAUCCUGUCCGCAGCCCCUUUAUCUGUCCGUGAAUGGGCAGGCGCAGUGACCCCCAUUCAGAACGCCCUGUGAAUGGGGAAUUGACGACCCAGACAGGACGCGCCAUGAGUGGGGAUUUGACCCCCACGAGUGGGGAUUUGACCCCCACGAGUGGGGAUUUGACACCACAGGCAGGGUCCAUGACACCAUCGGCGGGGUCUAUGAUGUCACAGGUCACGUGACGUCUGUGUUUCCGCCCGCAGCACCUCCGUCUGUCCCUGAACGAGGAGGCGCAGUGACCCCCAUUCAGGACACCCCGUGAAUGGGGAAUUGACGACCCAGACAGGACACGCCAUGAGUGGGGAUUUGAGCCCCACGAGUGGGGAUUUGAGCCCCGUGAGCGGGGAUUUGACACCACAGGCAGGGUCCAUGACACCAUAGGCGGGGUCUGUGACGUCACAGGUCACGUGACGUCCGCGUUUCCGCCCGCAGCACCUCCGUCUGUCCCUGAACGAGGAGGCGCAGUGCCGCGUGCAGCACCUGUGGUUCCAGUCGGUGCUGGACAUGCUGGAGCACUUCCGGGUGCACCCCAUCCCCCUCGAGUCCGGGGGGCCCAGCGACGUCACCCUGCUCAGCUACGUCGUGGCGGCGCAGCGGCCAAUGGGCCGCGAUCGCUCCGGGAGCCGUUCGGCCACCGACCCCGACGACCUGGCCGAGCAGCUCCCGUAACAACGACCCCCAAAUCCCGCCCCUCCCCCCCAACCAUGGACCUCAGCGCGCCCCUCCCCCCACUUUUUGUAACCCUCCCCGCCCCCCCCCCCUCCCCCCAAGGUGGGGGGGGGGGUCCCAGGUACUUCAGCGCCCCCCGAACACUACGGGGGGAGGGGCGCCCCCAAAAUCCCCCUUUUCGCCCCCAAAAAUCCCCUCGUUGGGGGGUCGGACGAAAACCGGCGGCGCUUUUUGGAAGAAAAGCGGAAAAUCAGA